UUUUUUUUUUUUCUUUUUAUAGCUGCACCUGUGGCAUAUGGAACUUCCCAUAUGAGUGAGCCACAUCUGCAACUUAACACCACAGCUUAUGGCAACGCCAGAUCCUUAACCCACUGAGAGGGGCCGGGGAUCAAACCUGCAUCAUCAUGGAGACAACAUCAGGUCUUUAACCUGCUGAGCCACAACAGGAACUCCAGAAAAUAUAUUCUUUAAUUUAUCUUCCUCCUUUAACUACAUCAUCAAUAUCCCCGCUAGGACAUUCCCCCUCCCCCAUUCAGUUCCUUCCCCUUCAGAUGAAAGGGGAAGGGGUCUCUUCCUUGAAUGGCACCACUAGCCAUGGAUGUGCCAUCUGAAGAAAGUGUCCAACGCCUCACUCUCUUGUCAGGCUCAUGUGUGAAUCCUUCAGCUGACUCUGCAAGGCGUCUUCCAUGUACAUUCCACGGACAGGAGGCAAUCUGGUAACAGCCUGACCUCUUUGCUGGCCUGCUCUCAACAGGGUGGUAUAUCUCAAAGCCCUUCUUGUGGGGAUGCCCCUCAUACUCUCUGGAGCCUGGGGAAGAUAGUUCUUGGUACCUAUGCAACCAAUGAGAAAUUCAUAUGUCCUUCCCUGCUGUGCCAAGUGGUGGGAACGGCUACCUUCCCUCCACCUCCUCUCAGCCCUGCUAUUUUACUCCACUUCUCCUUUUCCCUGAUGAGAUGAGCACAGCGAUGUACCACGCCCUUUACCAAAUCUAGCAUCUAUCCUCAAGUGAGUUUCCCAUUCUUCUGAGGUAUUUUCUCAGGUCCUCCACAUCUCACCUUGAGAAGCUAGAGCACCUUCCUUCCACUUAGCAUCAUUCUCUCCCUACUAUCAGCACUGCACUCACAGGGGCUACACUCUGUGUGCCUGCAAAGCUCCCCCUUCCUUCAUCCCAUCUUCUUUUAUAGACAGGAACUGGGGACCAAAGGGCUAGGGUAAUGACUGGAGGUAGCAAGGUUCUGCCUCUUAGCCCAGAGUGAAGUGUGGGGCUCCUGAUUACAGUGGCUCUCUUAAGAACAGAGGUUUAACCUCUCUGUCCCUAGCUUUGAGAUCUAGUCUCUAUAUCCCAGGCAAAAAAAAAAAAAAGGCCACUGAAUAUCCUGCCACAUGUAGAAACAUGAUUCAAGGCUUGAGGGAGCAAAGGGCUGCCUUUUCCAUGACCUCUGGAAUAUAUCCAAUAAAGACUAAAAAUCUAUAGGAUAUGACAAGAUAAUCAAAACCAAAUACAGACUCUGACCUGAUGAUCUUUAUGUGGGGGCAAGGGGGGGGCAGUUACAACCUUGUUUAUACAGAGCCUGAGAUCUAGAGAAUAAAUUUCUCUUGUUCAAGUUUGGGUCCUUUAUUAAAGUAGGAUCACUGGGCAGUGUAGAUACAAGGAGGCUUCAUUUCACUGAUCUUGGUUAACAUUAAGAGAGACUUUUCUUGGCCACGUGAUAUAACCAAUUACAAGUCAUUCCUUCUAAUGGCAAUAUAACCUCCUCUCCAAUAUAAGAAGACUAAAUGUGUCUUAAUGUAUAUGCUGGGCUCCUCCUGUUGAGGUGUUCAAGGAUUUGUUUUUAGAUAUCCUGAGAGUCUUUCAAAAUUUUUAUUUUCUAUGACCCCAUUCCUUGACAUUAUAAUCUUAGGAUGCCUUAGAAUUCUUUUGUAGACCAUGCCUAACUGGUACACUUCAGCAUGACCCUGAGCUAGGCCUUAGUACAGACCUAUAGCAGUUGUUAAUGUAUCAUUUGCUUUUGAUCCCAAGGUAAAAACAUUCAUUAACCUAUAUGGGUUCUUGAUACAAAAUCCUAGUAAUAUUCCCUAAGGUUCUUUAUUAUAAUGUCUGAAGAAUCAGCAUGGAUAGGAAGUGGCUCUUGAGACUUAACAUUCAGGUCCUAUAAAUGAUGGAAAACAAGGGGUAAGAUGUAGAUCUUUAAGCAACUUUCUAAGCUUUUAGAAAGGGUUCCCACUGUGGCACAACAGGAUGGGCGAAGUCUUGGGAGUGGGGUGUGGAUUUGAUCCCCGGCCUGGCACAGUGGAUUAAGGAUCAGGUGUUGCCACAGCUGCGACUUUGGUCAUAAAUGCACCUCGGAUCUGAUCUCUGGCCUGGGAAGUCUAUAUGGCAUGGGGUGGCCGAAAAUGAAGAAAAAUAAAUAAAUGAAUUAAUUAAUUAAUUAAUUUACAAAAGAGGUUUUAAAACCAGGUUCUGUAGAGCCCUGGCAAGUGCACAGAGGUAUAACAGGAACCUUCAGGAUGGUGGCUCUCCCCUCUCUCUUUCUUAGUUAUUCACUGUCAACCAGAUUUCAUCAGCUUUGUAUAUUAGGCUUAAGAUUUUGUAUGGGGGAAAAAUGGUUUUGGUACCCCCCAAUAAACAUUUUCUACAUGAAUUUCUUUAGAUCAACCGUAUACAUAUUCUCUCGCCUUAUCAAAUAAUAAUAAAAACUGCUUAAAGGAGACCUACUUGAUGAAGCGUUCUUCACUCUAGAAAGGAGGACCACCAGAACCAGGCCCCCAGGCCACAAAACAAACACCUGCUUGGAAGAAGGAUGCAAGUUUGCCUCUCCCCUGAUCCUUAUCUGUGGCCCUAUUUUCCACUCCCAAACUACAAGACCACCUCCUAUUCUCUUACAAAGGAGGGCAGUCUUUAGGGCAUUAGCCUGCUGUGACCUCCUUUGCCCAGCAAAGCAAUAAAAGCUAUUUUUGAAACAAACAAACAAAACUGCCUGAAGGAGCAACUGAACUUGUUUAUCAAUUACUAUCAUAAAAAACAGUGUGUUAAUCAUUAUGCCAAAAUGCAGUCAUUUCUGCGGGCUAUCCUCUUCAGUUUUCAGCCAUACCAGUAACUUCCUUCAACUCUUCCUCAGCCACAGAAAUGUCUUCACAGAACUACACUUAGAACUAUACUUUAACAGCAUACCUUCCAUGGAUGGAACUGGAGACUCUCAUACUAAAUGAAGUAAGUCAGAAGGAGAAAGACAAAUACCAUACGAUAUCACUUAUAUCUGGAAUCUAAUAUAUGGCACAAAUGAACCUUUCCACAGAAAAGAAACUCAUGAACUUAGAGAAGAGACUUGUUGCCAAGGAGGAGGAGGAGGGAGUGCAAUGGACUGGGAGUCUGAGGUUAAUAGAUGCAAACUAUUGCAUUUGCAGUGGAUAAGCAAUGAGAUCCUGCUGUAUAGCACAGGACUGGAUACCCGGUCACUGGUAAUAGAACAUGAUGGAGGACAAUGCGAGAAAAAGAAUGUGUGUGUGUGUAUAUAUAUAUGUAUGUAUGACUGGGUCACUUUGCUGUAUGAUAGAAAUUGAUAGAACUCUGUAAAUCAACCAUAAUGGAAAAAGCAAAAAUAAAAAUAAAUAUAUCAUAUCUUGGCCUUUAUCAGGGACUCUGUCAUGUCCCUUACAUAUAGCUAUAUGGCAAGAAUUCCCCUUAGCGCUAAAGGCUAGAAAAAUCUUCUAUGUUUCUUUGUCUAAGACAUCAAAGAAUUUUCACUUUAGAUUUGGCUUUAGCUGCCAAUAAACUGAAAGUUAAAUGUAAUGUUUAAAGGCACGGUAUCAGGGGAGAGGACUUAUAUUCAAGAUGCUGUGCUUUCUGACCUAAUUAGCAAUUAUCACCCGCCUCCUGAAUGAUCUCACAAACUGAACCUCUCUUCCAAUCCAACCUACAAUCAGAUAAAUUUUUCUAACAAGUCUUUUCUGAUCACAUCACUCGCCUAUUCAAAAGUAUUAACUGGGAGUUUCCAUUGUGGCUCAGUGUUUAACGAAUCCAACAAGGAACCAUGAGGUUGUGGGUUAGAUCCCUGGCCUUGCUCCAUGGGUUAAGGAUCUGGCGUUGCUGUGAGCUGUGGUGUAGGUCGAAGACACGAAUCAGACCCCAAAUUGCUGUGGCUCCGGCUUAGGCUGACGGCUACAGCCCUGAUUAGACCCCUAGCCUGGGAACCUUUAUAUGCCGUGGGUGCAGCCCUAGGAAAGACCAAAAUACAAACAAAAAAAAAGUAUUAACUGCCACACCACAUUUGCCCCUAAAAUAUAAUCAACAAAACAGUAGCAAGUCAGAGGUAGUCUUAGUGCAAAGAAUAUGGAACCUGCUUAAAUGAUUCAUUCCUCCUAUCCAUGGAUGGGAAUAGGCAACCCAUUUCAGGACUAAAACAGGCAAAUCCAGAUGCCUAAAGCCUUGUCACAAAAAAGAAAAAAAGAAAAAAAAAAAAAAACAGAUACAUGUAUACUUGCACCUAAAAUUCAACUUUUUAUCCAUUUGGGAUCUUAUAAUCACCAUGUAAGUUAUUGACUUUAUUUCCCAGUUUUGCUCACAUUCAAAUCAUCACCAUCACCAAAGGGGGAGGGGAAAAUGAUUUUGCAGCUUCAAAUUUAGUUGUUGUUGUUUUUUUUUUAUUUCCCCAAUACAUUUUUUUUUUCUACUGUAUAGCAUGGUGACCCAGUUACACAUACAUAUAUACAUUCUAUUUUCUCACAUUAUCAUGCUCCAUCAUAAGUGACUAGACAUAGUUCCCAGUGCCACAGAGCAAGAUCUCAUUGCUAAUCUAUUCCAGGAUCUCACUGCUAAUCCAUUCCAAAGACAACGGUCUGCGCCUAGUUUUAAAUGUGCUCCAAAUCUGGCUCCUGGAGCCAGAGGGGCUCUAAGAGGCCCCUUGAGACACAGACUGGUUUCUUUGCUUUUGGCAGGAAAGGUAUUCUUUUUACCCUUUACAAAUUCAACAACUUUAGCAAACCAGGGUUCAAGGUCAUCCAGCCAGUCAGUACCUACCUUGCUGAUUUCAGCUUCCUUUUUUGAUGCUUCCAUGAAGAAGAAUGCCAACCCAUGAGCCAACACUGAAAACGAUCCAUGGUGACUGUCCACUGUCCAUGAGUGCAUUCCUCUUGGAGAUUAGCCCUUAGUUGAACCUCUCCACAGAGAAAGAUCAUGUUCCUAGAUUUUGUUACUUGCAGAGAAGCCCAAGACAUGCUCUCUAUAUAGGUUUCCUCUACUUUAAAUGCAGAAGACUGCCCAGAAUGACAAUAUAUAUAUGGCCCACUUGCACUGUCUGAUUUGUGUACAUUUAUAUGUGUGUAUAUAUAGUGUCUUAUAGGAAAGACCUGUAGUUUCUGUCAUGGCUCAGCAUAAAUGAAUCUGACCAGAAUCCAUGAGGACACAGGUUUGAUCCCUGGCCUUGCUCGGUGGGUUAAGGAUCUGGCAUUGCCAUGAACUGUGGUGUAAGUCGCAGAUGUAGCUCAGAUCCCGAGUUGCUAUGGCUGUGAUGUAGGCCAGCAGCUAUAGCUCUGAUUCAGCCCCUAGCCUGGGAACCUCCAUGUGCCACUGGUGCAGCCCUAAAAAGACAAAAGACCAAAUAAAUAAAUAAAUAAAAAGAACUGGUACUUUAUAAGAUUUUAGUAGCAAUUUCAUAACACAAUUAUAUAUUAUCAUUGAGAAGAAAAUCCUUUAGCCAGUUUACUCUGAUUUCCACUGUCAUUUCUCC
rnacentral:lncRNA from 1 species